rnacentral:rRNA from 1 species
GAUGAACGCUGGCGGCGUGCCUAAUACAUGCAAGUCGAGCGAACAGACGAGGAGCUUGCUCCUCUGACGUUAGCGGCGGACGGGUGAGUAACACGUGGAUAACCUACCUAUAAGACUGGGAUAACUUCGGGAAACCGGAGCUAAUACCGGAUAAUAUAUUGAACCGCAUGGUUCAAUAGUGAAAGACGGUUUUGCUGUCACUUAUAGAUGGAUCCGCGCCGCAUUAGCUAGUUGGUAAGGUAACGGCUUACCAAGGCAACGAUGCGUAGCCGACCUGAGAGGGUGAUCGGCCACACUGGAACUGAGACACGGUCCAGACUCCUACGGGAGGAGGCAGAGGGGAAUCUUCCGCAAUGGGCGAAAGCCUGACGGAGCAACGCCGCGUGAGUGAUGAAGGUCUUCGGAUCGUAAAACUCUGUUAUUAGGGAGGAACAAAUGUGUAAGUAACUAUGCACGUCUUGACGGUACCUAAUCAGAAAGCCCCGGCUAACUACGUG